rnacentral:rRNA from 1 species
UACAGAGGGUGCAAACGUUGUUCGGAAUUACUGGGCGUAAAGCGCGUGUAGGCGGCUAUGCAAGUCGGGCGUGAAAUCCCACGGCUCAACCGUGGAAGUGCACUCGAAACUGCGUAGCUAGAGUCUCGGAGAGGAAGGUGGAAUACUUGGUGUAGAGGUGAAAUUCGUAGAUAUCAAGUGGAACACCGGUGGCGAAGGCGGCCUUCUGGACGAUGACUGACGCUGAGACGCGAAAGCGUGGGGAGCAAACAGG